rnacentral:rRNA from 1 species
GGACUACUGGGGUAUCUAAUCCUGUUUGAUCCCCACGCUGUCGCGCCUGAGCGUCAGAAACGGGCCAGUGAGCCGCCUUCGCCACCGGUGUUCUUCCCAAUAUCUACGAAUUUCACCUCUACACUGGGAAUUCCACUCACCUCUCCCGUACUCAAGCUCCACAGUUUCAAAGGCAAUUCCAAGGUUGAGCCUUGGGCUUUCACCCCUGACUUGAGGAGCCGCCUGCGCGCGCUUUACGCCCAGUAAUUCCGAACAACGCUAGCCCCCUUCGUAUUACCGCGGCUGCUGGCAC